GGCGAGCAAUCGAGCGAUAUACGGAAUAAGCGGGAGAUUCAGCAUCAGCAGCACCAGGUUGCCGACAUACAUAGAAAUAAUUACCGACCAGAAAACCUCCGGCCGAUCUGUCAUCAGUCCUGGGCC
rnacentral:ncRNA from 1 species